CUUAUCAUGAGGUUAGAUGCAUAGUUAAAAUGUAAAUAAUCUGUUAUAUAAAGUCCAGUAUGAAAGCUUACCCGAGCUCCGGACAGUGCAGUAAUAACAAUAGUCAUGCAUGACAUAAUGGGUAUGAACACACUGUCACGAACUGGUCUGUAAUGUGAAAGGAAAUAUAUGAUGUUGUUCUAGGAAAGAGGUCAUGGCUGGAACAUGUCUUAUUCACUGUGUCCUGAUUCAAGUCCUGCUUAUCACAGUCUAUGCUCAAUUACCAACAAACUGUACAAAUCAAGCUACCACUGGGGGAGAACCAGUACAUCUAACCUGCAAUGUCACAUGUAAAAAAUGUGAAACACUCCAUUAUUUUUGGAAGCAUGGAGAAGAUAAAAUCAACUGCAGUAAAAUGCGUAACUUUCCAAGUGGCAACAGUCAUAUAUUUAAUUGCACAAUUGAAAGUGCAUCAGCGAGUCACAGUGGAACAUUUACAUUUUGGGUACAAAUGAAAGAAGGAAUUGGUGAAACAAAAUUCAGCGUGACCAUAGAGCGGCCUGCUGCUAAUCUCACCACACCAGAGAAACUUAAGACUUCACCUAAGGGUCGUUCACCUGAAGUUGCCUUGGCUGUAUUGUUCAUGAUUUGUCUUGCCUUAGGCCUCAUUGUUGCUGUUUUGUUUAUAAGAAAUAAAAACUGUAAUAUGUCAAUUUCAUCAAUAUUCACUCACAAAAUGAUCACAGAAACUGAAAUAAUAUAAUCCCAAUACAUACAGUAGUUGUGACACUGUCCCAAGCUCAGAAAGAUAAGCUUUCUUUAUGUCAGUCUCUGUCAUGGCAGAGGGAGAUUAAGGAAAUUAAGGAAAAAGGGGGAAAUUGUACAGUUAAGGGGAAAAUAUAAUCCCAUAUAUGUAGCAGAUUCUUUUCUUUCUUUCUUUUUCUAACGCUUCAUUUCUAGUUUCAGUGAAAUAUUUAUCUCUUACUUAUCACUGUGUGAUGCUUUUCAAUUGCUAAUGGAUUGGUGUGAACUGACUCCUUUUCUGAUUUUGAGAUUUUGUGGGAUCUGUUUUUAAACAUCUGUGGUGAUUUUUACCCGUAGCUUUUUUACAAUUAUUUACCUUCUCAGAAUGAAAAAGGUAACAUACCGUACAAACAUUUCUCACUGCUGUAAUAUACUCGAGAACAUGUUGUUUAUACUGUUACUUAUAUAAAUACAAAUAUAUAGUAUUAUAAUUAAUGGUAUAUAAUCUUUAAGAACAACUGUUGUACCUUUGACAACAAAAAUACUUGUACAGGGCUUUUUCACAGAACUCACUGUAAUCUGUGAUUUAAUUUUUUUUAAUACUAAUACUAAUACUACUAAUAAUAAUACAUGGCGGAGCAGAACACUGAAUAGAUUUUGGUGUUGCAGUUUUGUGUACUUUUGUAUAUUGUGUAUUCUGUUGUAUUGCCAGUUCUGUUGUAUUGUGUGCUUUUUUACUGUAAAUGUGAAUAUAUUAAUAAAUGUACAGAAUUCACACAGUUCUUGGGUGUUUAUAAUUCUACUGUGAUGAGAAUUUGCUCAGGCAAUGAUAUACCAACAAAAUGUAAAAUAAGACUGGUGAACAUGUGCAUUCAUGUCCCUCAGCACAAAGCCAGAUCUGUGGGAGGUGGAGGAUGUUUAUCUUGGGGUGGUUUAGUAGACAUUUAUAAAGAUCACAACAAAAAUGUUUACUUUUAUUAAUGUUUUUAGAAUGUCACAGAGGAACGGGAACAUGAAACACAGAUAAAAAUCCAGCUGUAACAGAUGUUCCCUUAUGGUGUACAUCAAAGAAAUAUGUUUUCCUCUCUUCUAGACCAGUUACAAUGUGACUUGUUUAAAUUUCAUUUUAAUAUUAAAUAUCAGGGUUGAAUGCUUACCUGGAUGUCAUUAUCCUUCUGCCUCAGACAGGUAGAGCUAACUAGUGGGAAGUAAUUGAACAUCUAACGCUCAUGAUGCUGAUUUUGAUUUUCAGACAUCUGAAAUUUGUUACCUCUCGAAGCCACAAAAGUUGCCUGAUGGAAAACUGAGAAAUCUCACCAAGCUUUGGUUCACUCCACUUAUAACUGACCUUUUGAUGUAUUUUGUAUUGGGUUCUCUGGAACAUUGAUGACCUCUGAGAGUGUGUUAGAUUUAACAGGUCGCUUCAAAUAGAAAGAGCUGAUCUGCU
ensembl:lncRNA